CCCUAGCCCUGAUAGAAGUGGAAAUCCUUUUGUGCUGGGGUUCAAUACAAAAGAUUGGAGCGGAUAGCAGGAAAUAGC
rnacentral:sRNA from 1 species